rnacentral:lncRNA from 1 species
UGGGGUUUCUGUCCUCUCAAAAACCCCUUCACCACGAUGGCUUUGAGAAAUCACUGAUUGAAAGGCCUCUGCUGACUGCAGGGGAUGUACUAGUACUCCAUAACUUGAUUUAAUUAAACUUUGCAUUAAAACUGAGUCAAUUUAAAUACAGUUCUCGAAAGAAAAGAGGAAGUACAGUGAAGUAAGGAAGGGGAAUAGACACAGCAGGCAGCUCCCUGGUAUGACAGUCUUCAGUUGGAAAGCUUGUUUGCACAUUGACAACAGCAUUGCAGGGACGUUUCUGGUGUACUCCCUGGGCUGGAAGGAAACUGCAGUUUGUUUUUAGAGCUUUUGCCUUGGAAUCUUUCUGUCCUUCCCCAGCUCCCUUUCCUCCUUCUCACUGCCAUAUCUGCAGCAAAAUCAGCAGUUGGAAAGGCUGACAGU